rnacentral:rRNA from 1 species
UACGUAGGGCGCAAGCGUUGUCCGGAAUUAUUGGGCGUAAAGAGCUCGUAGGCGGCUUGUCACGUCGGAUGUGAAAGCCCGAGCUUGAACCUCGGGUCUGCAUUCGAUACGGGCUAGCUAGAGUGUGGUAGGGGAGAGUCGGAAUUCCUGGUGUAGCGGUGAAAUGCGUAGAUAUCUGGAGGAAUACCGGUGGCGAAGGCGGCGUUCUGGACUGCAACUGACACUGAUGAACGAAAGCCAGGGAGGCAAACGGG